AACUCGAUGAAACCAGGCUUAUUUUUAAUAGCUUCACCAAUUAGUUGCGCUGCUCUACCUUCACCUUGAGCACGAACAAUAAAGCCCUGUUUUUCCAUUCGAGCACGAUCGACAUAGAAAGUAGCUAAAAAAUUAUUGUUAAUAUUGAAUUUGUACGAAGAGCUGAACCAUACCUCUUUGAGCAUCUUGCUGGGCAAUUUGCUUGGCCUCUACAGCGGCUGUAAAUUCAGGAGAGAAUUGAACUAUUGGAUGCAGUUAGUAUUUUAAGGUACAAACGCUUGACUAAUGUUAGUCAUACCAUGAGUAAGUGAGACAUCAUCAAGCAAAAUAUUGAAUCGGGCUGCUCUCUUCAUUAAAUUCUCGCGAACCAACCUAGAUACACGUUCACGCUGGGUGAUCAACUGGCUUGCAUUAAAUUGAGCUACAACGCUUUUUAAGACUUCAUUAACAAUAGAGGGCAAAACACGUUCAUCAUAAUCACCACCUAAAGUACGAUAAAUUUUUGGCAAAGCAUGAACAUCGGGACGAGACAAAACACGACAAUUAAUGUUCACCAUUUGUAAAUCUA